AAAAGUCUCCGCCUGUAGAGAGAGAAAAAGAGAGAGAGAGAGGGGGAAAGCGACAAAAAAAAAAAUUCACCGGCGGGAAGAAUGGCAGAGGGAACCCCACGAGCGAAGGAGACACUCGUGGAAGAUGAGGAGGCUGGGCCUUUGAGAUCUGGAGUUUAUGCAGAGAGCAGAUCCGAACCUGUUCAGUGUACCCAUAGCUGCAACUCGGUCAGGUUAGCAAAACCCACACAUAACCUCAUUGGUCAGGGCAUCCCAUUGGUCACAGCAUGGUUAACUUAGCAAAUCCCUCAUUGGUCAGAGUAUCCCAUUUGUCACAGCUUGGUCAACAAAGCAAAACCCACACAGCUCCUCGGUCAAGUUAGCAAAACCCACCCAUACCCACAUUCUGCAACUCGGUAAAGUUAGCAAAACCCACAAAACCCACCCACAUUGGUCAGGCUUGGUCAACAAAGCAAAACCCACACAGCUCCUCGGUCAAGUUAGCAAAACCCACCCAUACCCACAUUCUGCAACUCGGUAAAGUUAGCAAAACCCACAAAACCCACCCACAUUGGUCAGGCUUGGUCAACAAAGCAAAACCCACACAGCUCCUCGGUCAAGUUAGCAAAACCCACCCAUACCCACAUUCUGCAACUCGGUAAAGUUAGCAAAACCCACAAAACCCACCCACAUUGGUCAGGCUUGGUCAACAAAGCAAAACCCACACAGCUCCUCGGUCAAGUUAGCAAAACCCACCCAUACCCACAUUCUGCAACUUGGUAAAGUUAGCAAAACCCACAUUGGUCAGGGCAUCCCAUUUGUCACAGCAUGUUUAACUUAGCAAAUCCCACGGUCACUGUCACCGUAGUCUAGGUAUUUUUACUCACUGUAUAUAUAAUAGGUCACAGAGACACAUACAGACACACCACAGCCUCCUUCUCUCAUUACAACACACCACAGACACACCACAGCCUCCUUCACUCGAUCUCACCCAUGGAUUCAGCAACAACACACAGGGUGAACAAGCUGUUGUUAGAGAAAGAGGAGAGGGAGUUGAUGUACCUUGCAAGGAAGGAGAUGUAUGAAAGCGUGGAAGAGAUGUUUCCAAAGCCAGGGGAACACUUGCGUAAGCCUCCUUAGGGUGCGAGUGCCUAGGGUGCGAAAGCCUAGGGUGCCAAAGGCUUCUAAGCCAGAGUCUUCAAAAGCUGCUGAGGUACUCGACUGGACUGAGGUGUUGGUAUGCCCUCCUCCUGGUAAAAUCUUCUCGAGCAAAAAGAAGCUUCGCACUCUCUACCCCGAGUAAGAACAGAGUGAAGAUGAAGAUGAAGAAGAAGGCAGUGAAGUUUUUCUUAUGCAUGUUUUUUUCAUUUGCAACUUUUCUAAAUCUCUUAAAACCUUGACUUGAGAUGAGUUGUAGUUUGAGAUUUCAGAUUUGUUUCUAUACAUUUAUCUCUUUUGGGGGUUGCAUGGGGUUCAUGGAGCGAUUAAACAAUGCUGUCUAAUUCAAGUA